CACGUAGGGGCGAGCGUUGUCCGGAAUUACUGGGUGUAAAGGGAGCGCAGGCGGGGCGGACAAGUCAGCUGUGAAAACUAUGGGCUUAACUCAUAGACUGCAGUUGAAACUGUUGCUCUUGAGUGGAGUAGAGGCAAGCGGAAUUCCGAGUGUAGCGGUGAAAUGCGUAGAUAUUCGGAGGAACACCAGUGGCGAAGGCGGCUUGCUGGGCUCUAACUGACGCUGAGGCUCGAAAGUGUGGGGAGCGAACAGGAUUAGA
rnacentral:rRNA from 1 species